AUUGAACGCUGGCGGCAGGCCUAACACAUGCAAGUCGAACGGUAACAGGAAGCAGCUUGCUGCUUUGCUGACGAGUGGCGGACGGGUGAGUAAUGUCUGGGAAACUGCCCGAUGGAGGGGGAUAACUACUGGAAACGGUAGCUAAUACCGCAUAACGUCGCAAGACCAAAGAGGGGGACCUUAGGGCCUCUUGCCAUCGGAUGUGCCCAGAUGGGAUUAGCUAGUAGGUGGGGUAACGGCUCACCUAGGCGACGAUCCCUAGCUGGUCUGAGAGGAUGACCAGCCACACUGGAACUGAGACACGGUCCAGACUCCUACGGGAGGCAGCAGUGGGGAAUAUUGCACAGUGGGCGCAAGCCUGAUGCAGCCAUGCCGCGUGUAUGAAGAAGGCCUUCGGGUUGUAAAGUACUUUCAGCGGGGAGGAAGGGAGUAAAGUUAAUACCUUUGCUCAUUGACGUUACCCGCAGAAGAAGCACCGGCUAACUCCGCG
rnacentral:rRNA from 1 species